rnacentral:misc_RNA from 1 species
CUUGAUUUUUUAAUUUUGGCUGGUACGGUUCCGUUCUGUUCCGCCUUGGCGCCCUUGGCCGCGGGGGCAAUGUUUUUGUUUUCGUUCUACGUUCAGGUGUUGGGUGGCGACGUAUUAACCGUCGAUAACCAGCUGAAGCAGCUCAAGUUCUCGAGUGGAACGAGGUUGACCGUGCGCAGUGGCAGCCGUUGACAACAAAAACAAUGUAUGCACUCAGUUUCGCCGGAUGAGUGACGGCGUCGAUCGCGAACCGCCAGAGCCGCCAAAUACCUCUCGUACAUCUCCAAGAACACCAAGAACAGGAGGUAUUCAUAAAGAGGAGGUGCGAAGAGCUGGCCCUCACUUUUUCAAGGCAGCCGCAGAACACUACGAGCCCCGAAUCACUGCCGCGGCUGACUCACGCGGAUGCUGUGCUGCACCCUGCACUGCACAUGGUUCGAAGCACACUUCAGGGGACCAGUGCAUGCCCCUGAUGCAUCGUCGCGGUAUGUUUUGUACUGCUUUUCCUAGCGGUGCACUGAGCAGUCCAAUCUUGAAGGGAGCACGCGAGUGCGUAGCCAGUGCUCCAUGCAGCGAGGACCGCAAGCACCCGCGGAAGCUUGGAGCACACGCAGUGACGCCAGCAGCCGUGCACGCUGGCGUCGUCUGCUACUGUACCGUCCUUUCGUUCGGUGCGCAGAAAAAAAAAGGAGUGACCGCUCUGUUAAAAGUCUGAUGGUGAAGGCAUCCUUUACAGAAGCACUGUAUGGCUCUCUGCACGCUAGAAUGGGGGCUGUCGUUGAUGCUCGCAGAGGCGUCGCCCACAACUAAGCAGACGACCAAAGUCCUGAGCAGGUCCCGGGGAUCAUGGCAUCGAUGAGCUCGCUUUCGCCUUGUCCAAGGUAGCAGCGGAAAACUACGGGCAGGCCCGGAGUCACCGCACCGGCUGGCUCACGGGCGUCGUCCUGUACUCUGCACGGCACUGCGUGUGGCUUAACCGGCCAAGCAGAGGGUCACUGCAUGACCUUUAUGAGGCGUCGCUAGCCAUUGUUUCAAAUCGUCCUGAUUCAUGGGCCAAGCCUUUGAAGACUGCACUCUUAGGCCCAGUCCUUUUUGGUGGAUCGGAUCUUGCCAUCUUCCCCUCUCGUGGCUUCCUGUUGUACUUAAAUAAAUUGUCAUAUUUUUUUCUUAUGGUGGUGCAUACGUUUUGCCACACUUCACAAAAACAGUGUGGUGAAUCCAUGCCGCAGAUUACUGUGAAACGUGCAGGAAGGGUAAACUCCGAAAAGGUUUAUGGAAAGAAGAUAGACAUCCCCCAUUAAUAUUUUCUGGACACUCUAAGCGUGCUAUCUACGCAGUAUUUCUGCCUAUCAUGGCAUCGGCUUUUGACCAUUCACGCUUGCAAGGAAAGGCUAUCAGCAAGAAGGGUUACGAAGUCUGUGUUCUGUUUGCAUU